rnacentral:rRNA from 1 species
UACGGAGGGUGCAAGCGUUGUUCGGAAUUAUUGGGCGUAAAGCGCGUGUAGGCGGUUGGUUAAGUCUGAUGUGAAAGCCCUGGGCUCAACCCGGGAAGUGCAUUGGAAACUGGCUAACUUGAGUACGGGAGAGGGUAGUGGAAUUUCGAGUGUAGGGGUGAAAUCCGUAGAUAUUCGAAGGAACACCGGUGGCGAAGGCGGCUACCUGGACCGAUACUGACGCUGAGACGCGAAAGCGUGGGGAGCAAACAGG